GCUUGUCUCAAAGAUUAAGCCAUGCAUGUCUAAGUAUAAGCACUUUAUACUGUGAAACUGCGAAUGGCUCAUUAAAUCAGUUAUAGUUUAUUUGAUACUACCUUACUACUUGGAUAACCGUGGUAAUUCUAGUGCUAAUACAUGCAACGAUCCCCGACUUUUGAAGGGGAGUAUUUAUUAGACUUAAGCCAAUAUUCCUUGUGUCUAUUGCGAUGAUUCAUAAUAACUGAUCGAAUCUCAAAUUUGAGAUAAAUCAUUCAAGUUUCUGCCCUAUCAGCUUUCGAUGGUAGUGUAUUGGACUACCAUGGCAGUAACGGGUAACGAAGAAUUAGGGUUCGAUUUCGGAGAGGGAGCAUGAGAAACGGCUACCACAUCUAAGGAAGGCAGCAGG
rnacentral:rRNA from 1 species